GCUUUGAUAACUUUUGUCUUCUUUUCUUUAUCUGUAGUUGAUUUUCCUUCGUUGUUGUUUCUAUCGUAUCUGCUGCUUUUUAAUCUUCUUUCCAGCUGGCAUGCUUAUCUUCAUUCUAGCUGUACAUCUGGGAUAAUAUUAUCUUCUCCAUUACAUCUCGAAUAUUAAUGGUCUGGAUAUUUGUGACUAAUUAUUUUACAAUAUCUUGUCAAUAAUCCGUAUGAAAUAAAUCCUCUCUUAAUUGCCCUUGCAGU
rnacentral:lncRNA from 1 species